UACGAAGGGGGCUAGCGUUGCUCGGAAUCACUGGGCGUAAAGCGCACGUAGGCGGAUUGUUAAGUCAGGGGUGAAAUCCUGGAGCUCAACUCCAGAACUGCCUUUGAUACUGGCGAUCUCGAGUCCGGGAGAGGUGAGUGGAACUGCGAGUGUAGAGGUGAAAUUCGUAGAUAUUCGCGAGAACACCAGUGGCGAAGGCGGCUCACUGGCCCGGUACUGACGCUGAGGUGCGAAAGCGUGGGGAGCAAACAGG
rnacentral:rRNA from 1 species